rnacentral:rRNA from 1 species
AGUGAACGCUGGCGGUGGGCCUAACACAUGCAAGUUGAACGGCAGCACAGUAAGAGCUUGCUCUUACGGGUGGCGAGUGGCGGACGGGUGAGGAAUACAUCGGAAUCUACUUUUUCGUGGGGGAUAACGUAGGGAAACUUACGCUAAUACCGCAUACGACCUACGGGUGAAAGCAGGGGAUCUUCGGACCUUGCGCGAUUGAAUGAGCCGAUGUCGGAUUAGCUAGUUGGCGGGGUAAAGGCCCACCAAGGCGACGAUCCGUAGCUGGUCUGAGAGGAUGAUCAGCCACACUGGAACUGAGACACGGUCCAGACUCCUACGGGAGGCAGCAGUGGGGAAUAUUGGACAAUGGGCGCAAGCCUGAUCCAGCCAUACCGCGUGGGUGAAGAAGGCCUUCGGGUUGUAAAGCCCUUUUGCUGGGAAAGAAAAGCAGCAGGUUAAUACCCCGCUGUUCUGACGGUACCCAAAGAAUAAGCACCGGCUAACUUCGUG